UGACCAGGGGGCCGGGACGCGUUGAUCAUAUGAUCGGCGUGACCUAGGGGUACAGGGAGUACCUCCGCCAAGGGCCGGGUCAGGCAAGCC
rfam:Pseudomonas syringae pv. japonica str. M301072 contig44.1, whole genome shotgun sequence.